rnacentral:lncRNA from 10 species
GUCUUCUUUCUCUGCUCUAAUGGUUUGGGAAUUUUGCAUUCUCUUUCUGUUCUUCUUGUGGCUGCCCUUAAACUUGGAUUCCGUGUCCGUUUGUGGGAUUAUCCGCGUCUAUAACUUCGUGAUGAGUUCCUGAUCUCCGUCUUCCAAAACUUGGGAAGUCAUCCGAGGGUUUGUUCCAGAUUGUUUUGGGUAAUUUUAAAAUUUUAUUUCACACUAAUUUUAUUCUAGGAAUCGCUUCUUCAUCUUACUGAAGUUUUGAUGCGACGUUAUAGUUAUUUAGGCUUAACGGGAGGUUGCAUGGGUUUUGUGGCCGUUUCUGGUGUCUUCCUGGUGUGUUUGGAUUUGUGCUUCGCCACGUCCGCACGUCACUUCUGAGCCCAGUGCGGUGGCCCCUGAGCUCCUGCCGGUCACGGGCUGUGUGUUGUCCCCCUCACACCAGAGACAGUCGUUUCUUCUCUUAACUCUUAAGCCCUCCUCAGUCACUCGGAUGAACUGAUUAAAUUCUGUGCUUUUAAUACUAAGCAUUAAAAAAAAAAAAA